AGCAGCGACAGCCCCAAAUACUCUGAGUCUAUAGUUACAUCCUGCUGGCUGCUCUGAUGCCACACACAGAGUGAAAGAGGUGGUGACAGGGGAGGAAUUGGCAGACGGCUCCAAGGCGUCGGGCAGGCGGCUCUCCCCUCUCCCGAAGAGGCAGCCACACUACUCCGGGGUCAGCAGGGAGCAGCCCAGGGAGCCUCGGAAAGAUGCCCCGAGCAAGCCUUACGGAGGAAUGCUGAUAUGUGGGAACUGACAAAGAAGCAUGAGAGAGCCGAUGUUCACCUCUUAAACCUGAUGAAAUUUGCUGGUGAAUCACAGGCUGCAAAAUACAACUGAGCAAGUUAAAUUCCACUUCCCUUGAACACGGAAGCCAGCAGUGCAUUUGUCACAUGGUCACAUCAGCAGACCACAACAACAAGAGCAAUCACCUGGUGAAACAAUCCACACAGAGAUUUGGAAGGAAAAUUUCUUUCAGGCAGGUGACACUGGACAUCUGGCAGUCCUCUGCUUCUGUUCUGAGAGUAACACCCACGUUGUAGGGCACGCUGCCAGAAGCUGCACCCACCUGGGACAUAGCCAGCCCAAGAUGAAAGGGAGCACCAAAUCCAGAAGGGAUGAUUAGCAUUCACUGAUGUUGUUCAGGACACAAGUAACUGGGAACAUGCUAAUUCCCCUUAGGUGUUCAGUACUGCACGGAAAAGUCAGGGAACUAAGAAAGUUAAUCAGGUCAGAGCCAGGCUUGCAUAUGCUUUCUCCACAGGAAUUACAAACUAUUUGCCAAAUAUUCAGAUUGGGUAAUUGCUACCCGGACUACUAAGGAUAUGCAGCCCAAAAGAAGAUAAUUGCUCAGAGGUUCUGAUAGAUUGCAUCACUCUCGGCCAAAGUAUAUGACAGAAUGAGAAUUAUCAACACAUAAUGUAAGGAUACAAGCCUGCUCAUACAGCAGAGCUGAACCCAUCAUGGCUGGCUGAAGCAGAAAAAACAUUAACCCCCCCAGACUGUUCAUAAGAAGGCAUUAAUUUGAUCCUGAACUCCAGAAGCAUUUGUGGAAUCCAGAGAUUCCCUGAAAUAACCUUCUCUUUCUUAGGACACAGGGGACAAGCAUUUAUCCCUGCUCUCUCUAAAAUGUAAAUUUGACCAAAGCUAAUUUUACCCCAGAGUCUAGCUAUGAGAUCAUUGUUCUGCCAGCAUACAAGUUUAGUCUCACACUGCCACAUAUUUUAUGACCAAAUGCAACUUGGAGCAGAGCCUGUACAGUCCAUCAUGGGUGCUGCUGUGUGAUAAAAAAAAAUCCAUCAUCCAUUAUAUUUAACUAUAAAGCUUUGGUGAAAAUCAGGCUACUUCUAACAAAAAUCUUUAGAUAUUAGUAAGAUUAGGAAAUAGAAAGACCAGGCAUCCAAAAUACUGCAACCUAAUUGUAUGUGAGAAUAUGAGACUCCUGAAGCAUUUCAGAGGCACAUUUCUUCUCUGAAACCAAACAGCAAUAUAAUCCAGAGAAGAGAACAGACAUUUAUUCAAAUUUUCACUAUUCCAGUCAGUCAUGCAUACAGUGCUGACUCAGGAGCAAACAUUAAAAAGCAGGAGCCAUGUGGGAACUUAGAAAUCUAAUUGUACAUCUCCCAGGGGGAAUCAUUACAACAGUGUCAAACAGGCCUUAAGCAGGAGGAAUGAAUGGGUGGGGGGAGAUCUGACAGCAGGGGGAAACAGUGCUGGCAGAAAAGGCCCCCAGAACAACAGGUACAAUCAACAAGCACAGCCUUCAGACUGAGGCUAGUAAGGAGAAAACUAAUAGCCUGUAUUAAAAGUAAAUGAGGAAGGCAUGGUACAAAUAUAGUAAGGAGAGAGCACAUUAAAACAUCCAGUGCAGGCCCCACUUCUGAGUGCCAUUAGGAGUUUAUACUCCUCCUUGUUUUCUUAGGCUUAUAACUGAAAUACUUAAUUUUAGACAUGACUGCAAACAAGCAAACUCAAAACUACAUCUCUAAGAAAACUGUAAGACAGCAAUAUUACUGGGGCUUAUUCAAGGUUCAGCACCUAGACAUAGAUGAAAUUCUAAUUAAAAGUUAAAUUCAGUACCUUAAGAAAAUUACUAUUCAACACAACAAGGGUGUUUUGCCUGAUUAUGUAACAUAGUUUUAUUUUACUGUGCACAGUAAAAUAACCCAAAAUGUUAGUGCAAGAAGACCACAGAGCUUUAGUGAUGGGCUGAAACUUAGGAAAGGCAUGUGUGUAUUAAUACUUGACUUCAGAAAAUAUGCAAAUCACUUCAGUGACACUGUGUUUGUCAUCUGUAUGAGAUAAUGGAUAGUCAACAGUCUUUCAUUGUUGGGUGGAUCAUCAAAAUAGUGUCUAAAUUAAGGAUCUGAUUAAUCUGUAUUAAAUAAUUUGUCAGUACAAGUAAAAUCAUUGCAAAUCUAACAUAAUCACAUUUCUGGGGGGGUUUUGUUGGGAUUUAUUUCACUUAUUACCAUUAAGAAUAGGGAUUUUUGUCAAUGCCCAAAUCACAUGGGAGGUUAAACUGGGAAGUUUCCAAAAUUCUGAUUGUGCACCAUGCCGCUCUCUCUUACAUAUUAAAAAAACCUGCUUUUUUAUCUAUUGUGAAAAUAUCUUCUUUUCUUGAGACAGGAACUACAAAUUCCACUCCUCCCAUUCACACCAAAAAGAACAUUACUCCCUAAACAGCACCACUUAAUCCAAAACAAACAGCGAGAUAUCUAAAAUAUCCUUUAGUUUACUUAGGGAUGUAAGACUCAAGAGACAGAGUACCUCCUUCUUGGAACAAAGGAAGGAGAGAGGGUGGAUUCAAAAGGGCUGUAAUCAAAAGGGUCUAACUCAUCUCCAAGUACCAUGGUCAAAUUUAUGAGUGUUUCCACAGAAAAAAAAAUAUGUCAGAAGGACAUCCUGGGUUGGAAUGCGGUAGAAUUGAUUCCCACAAGCCCAGGAAUGUUGCUGGUUUUCAUGAUAGAGCUGCUAAUCUUAUAAUAAAGUAACUUUUGAAUAUAUUUUGCAUUCAGUGAUGAGCUCCACUAGCAGUGACCUCCGUGUGAGCAGCCCUCCCCAGUAAUAGGGCUGUGGAAAUAUUGCUGGAGGCAGGUCUUGCAUUGCUUUCUUUUGUCUCUCCACUUAAGCUUUGCAGAAAGAUACUACCAGAAGCACAGAAAGGCCAUAAAACUGAAAACAUCAUUUUAAAUCAAAAGGCUUUUAGUGGUUGUCUUACAGGGGCUAUCUGUGUUCCCAACAGUGACUAUAGCAAUUACAUGAUGAAAACAUCUAGGCAGGUGCAUAAUUUAAAAAGGAAAAGGACAUCCUCCCCCUUUAGGAGAGGUCAGGCUUUAUAUUUGAGUAGGUCUGUUUGGCUAACAAAGGAGAAAAAAUGAGGACAGAGUGAAAGGAGGAAUGGAGCAGGAUUGAAAAAAAAAAUGAUGAGAGAAAAGAAUGGGCAGCAGAAAAAACUGCAGGGAAGGAGGAUGAAAGAGAAGGAUGACAUCUGACUUGGACAAAGGGUGAACCACAAACCUAGUCAUUGCCAGUGUCCAGGACAAAAAUAACUUGCUUGUCCAGCAGCAGCAGGGCAGCUGCCAGUGCAGCAGGACAGAGUCCCCCCCGCACUGCUCUGCCCAGCACAUCCCCAGCCCACUUCCAGAUCUGCCCCUUUCCCUGUGCUGUGUGGCAAAACCCAGUGUGUUCUCAGUCCCUGUGGUUGUGGUUAGGAAACUGCCGCAUGAUGGGUCUCAAUAGAAAAAGUAUUUUAAUACAAGAAAAACAGGAAACUCAAGCACGUUUUGAGUCUAAUUCAAUUUCAGUUCCGUGAUUCCUUUAUUUUCUAUGGACAAAAGGCAUGUAACAAAAUUAUGAACUGGGACGUGAAGAAAGCAGAACUGUGCACAUGACAGAUAAAACUGGCUCAUUAUGUGAAAACUGAAGCCAUGCAAAAUAAAAAUGCAGAGCAGAUUAGAGCACCUCUCAUCCAAAAACCAGUUAGGACCAGUCAAGCACAUCCCAGCACCUGGACAGAGUUUGAGCAGAGCAUAUAUGAACUGGCACAGGUCACAGCUUCACAAGAGGAGACCAGGUUAUGAAGAAAUGCAAAUAUUCUUUCUUCAUUUUAAGCUGAAAGCAGCUUCUGGUUUAGGAAUCUUCAGAGACAAGAUACAAGGUACCAGUUCAAUGUCAGCUGCCUCACACUCUCUUUGCAAUAUCAUCAGUGCAUUUUAGUGCUAAUGUACUAAAGCAUGACACUAGCUAAAGAUAACCACAUUCUAUUGAGAAACAUAACAAUAGAAAUAAUGGAAUAAGCACUUCAUGCAAUUUGCUAGGAAUGUCGUUUGGACACCAACAGCCAAAACAAACUAAAAUGGCAAAUGCAAGGACUCUAUUUUGAAAAGAUCUGCAAACAGACUCAGCAGCUUUACAGGGGGUCAUAUUUUCCACAAGGAUAAACUGUCCUUGAACAAUAUUUUCAGUGUUCUGGGUAUUAAUCUGCUUUCUUUUCAUAUGGAUUGUUCUCACCUACACUCCUUUUCCUUGAACAAAUAUUUACUGUGACCAAUAAAAUUCUGCUCUCCAUUUACGAGUUAAAUAGCAUCACAUUCCCACACGCUGCUUUAUAUACGUA